rnacentral:lncRNA from 1 species
CCCCCUUAUCUUUCUCUCCAAACUCCAAUCGGCAGGUCGACGGCCUUCCCCCUUUAUGCUUCUCUCUCUCAGGUGUCUCUCUUCUCUUCUCUUCUCUCUCUGACCAUCUAGCUUUAUUCUCUUCUCUCUGUCCAAUAUUCUCUCUCGUUGUCUCUCUUCUCUGUCCGGCUCUCUCUUCUCUUCUCUGUAGUUGUCUCUCUUCUCUUUAUCCUCUUGUUUUCUUGUUUUUCUUCUUCACUUUGUGUUGGAGUAGCCCUGUGCCUAGAGGGAGUGGCCUUUUUUGGCAGAAGCUUGAGGUUCAUCAGAAGCACUUAAAUCGACUCAACAAGCCCCCCAUCAAAUCCAUUCAGGUCAUAUCUUUACAUCUACUCACAUUUUUAUGUAUGUAUUUAGCAUUUGUGUCACAUUUGUUUUUGCAUUUGUAUAGUAUUUUGAUUUUGUUUAUAGGAAAGUAUAGUUCUUAAUUGGUGUUGUUUUGAAUGAGCAGAGCCCAGAUGGGGAUACCAUUUACUUUAUUCCAAUCUCACAUCAGCCUGCUUUUGAACACCUUCUCCUUAAGGAUCAGAAUAUCUAGGUCCCCUUUUUAAUUUUUGAGAAAAUGUGCUUAAAGAGAUGACAUUUUGAGAGCAAGCUCAGUUAAAGAUAUGAUAAAAAGAAGCAUAGAUUUCUUUAUUUAUUUUCAUCCCCCUCAUCUCUCUCUCUCUGUUCUGUUUUUUUGUAAGGGGGGCUAUUUUAUUGUUUAGUUUUGACUUACCGGAGUAGCUGCCUUGUUUGAAUCUGCCGGAAUGAUGCUCCUCCACCAGAAUCCAGGAGGAGCUCUAGAUGCUGCUGCUGUUGUAUUGCUCACUCUUUUCACUCCCUCUAGCCGCGCCUCUUCUUCAUUUCUGCCG